UACGUAGGCAGCGAGCGUUGUUCGGAGUUACUGGGCGUAAAGGGCGCGUAGGCGGCCUCCGCAAGUCGACUGUGAAAUCUCCGGGCUUAACCCGGAAAGGUCAGCCGAAACUGCGGGGCUAGAGUGCAGAAGGGGCAACUGGAAUUCUCGGUGUAGCGGUGAAAUGCGUAGAUAUCGAGAGGAACACCUGCGGCGAAGGCGGGUUGCUGGGCUGACACUGACGCUGAAGCGCGAAAGCUAGGGGAGCGAACGGG
rnacentral:rRNA from 1 species